GUGGGGAAUUUUGGACAAUGGGCGCAAGCCUGAUCCAGCAAUGCCGCGUGCAGGAAGAAGGCCUUCGGGUUGUAAACUGCUUUUGUACGGAACGAAACGGUCCGGGUUAAUACCCUGGGCUAAUGACGGUACCGUAAGAAUAAGCACCGGCUAACUACGUGCCAGCAGCCGCGGUAAUACGUAGGGUGCAAGCGUUAAUCGGAAUUACUGGGCGUAAAGCGUGCGCAGGCGGUUUUGUAAGACAGGCGUGAAAUCCCCGGGCUCAACCUGGGAGUUGCGCUUGUGACUGCAAGGCUGGAGUGCGGCAGAGGGGGAUGGAAUUCCGCGUGUAGCAGUGAAAUGCGUAGAUAUGCGGAGGAACACCGAUGGCGAAGGCAAUCCCCUGGGCCUGCACUGACGCUCAUGCACGAAAGCGUGGGGAGCAAACAGGAUUAGAAACCCGUGUAGUCC
rnacentral:rRNA from 1 species